AGGGGCGGGACGUGGGCUCGGCGA
rnacentral:miRNA from 1 species